UACGUAGGGUGCAAGCGUUGUCCGGAAUUAUUGGGCGUAAAGAGCUCGUAGGCGGCCUGUCACGUCGGCUGUGAAAACCCGGGGCUCAACCCCGGGCCUGCAGUCGAUACGGGCAGGCUAGAGUCCGGCAGGGGAGACUGGAAUUCCUGGUGUAGCGGUGAAAUGCGUAGAUAUCGGGAGGAACACCAGUGGCGAAGGCGACUACCUGGCCUGUUCUUGACGCUGAGGCGCGAAAGCUAGGGUAGCAAACGGG
rnacentral:rRNA from 1 species